rnacentral:rRNA from 1 species
UACGUAGGGAGCAAGCGUUAUCCGAAUUUAUUGGGUGUAAAGGGUGCGUAGACGGAGAAGCAAGUUAGUUGUGAAAUCCCUCGGCUUAACUGAGGAACUGCAACUAAAACUACUUCCCUUGAGUACUGGAGAGGAAAGUGGAAUUCCUAGUGUAGCGGUGAAAUGCGUAGAUAUUAGGAGGAACACCAGUGGCGAAGGCGACUUUCUGGACAGUAACUGACGUUGAGGCACGAAAGUGUGGGGAGCAAACAGG